GUGUAUUCAAAAUUUCAUCUCUUUGAUACGCGAUUGUUUAAUAAUUGUUCUCACUGAGGGGUUGGGCAAACUCCUCCACCCCACAAGCCAUGGGCUUGGUUGCCAAUCUUGCUUUGGCCAUUGGAAUGGGAAGAAUAUUACAUAUGCCAUGUCUGCAGAGAGGCUUUGAACAUAUUUAGGACUCUUAGGUUCACUCUGCGCACAUAUGUUCUUUCCAGGUGAGGAAAAGCUUCCAGGAAAUUGUUACUAUUUCAACCUGGAGCCUGGAAGGAGAGAUGCACAGAGAAGCUGUGAACCCAACCUGUACGUCUUGAGCCAACCCCAGCUGUAUCUCGCCAAGAGACGGGGUUUUACCGUGUUGACCAGGCUCCAGGCUGAUCUUGAACUCCUGACCUCAGAUGAACCACCUGCCUCGGCCGUCCAAAGUAUUGGAAUUGCAGACAUGAGCCACUGCGUCAGGCCCAUUAUCUUCUUCUAUAGCGGAUGACAUUGAGCCUCAGAGAGGUGGGUCAUUUGCCUUUACUGAGUCUUACACCCUCCAGGACCCAGCUGGGAUUGCAGUCCAGGGCCACUUGCUCCGGAGCUGAGUUGGUGAUGACCUGGCUGCUCUGCCCUUCUGGGGGUCUUCCUGGGAUCCUCUGAGCCAGCCCCACUUUCCUCUGUUGAUCUCUGUGGGCAGCAAAACCCCCUCUGUGUUUUCCCUGAGCUCUUCACUGUGGUCUCUCCACUCCUCUGGGCUUGGACCCCACCUGUCCGUAACCACCAUCCCCUGCUACCUUGCCUAGGACAUUCCCAAUAAUGCUCUGGAAUUUGGGGGAUGCUACAUUAUUUCCUUCUUGGCCUUUGCAGCUCUAAAUGUGCCCGAGAGUUCAGGCGUGCAUUCAGUUAGGAAGGCUGAGCCUCUGCCCUCCGAGUGUCCUGCCUCCUCUUUGGAAGUUCUUCGUCUGGGGGUCUUGCCUCAUUACCCGAGGACUCCACUCUCUCUUUGGCCCAGAGUUGCAGGGUUUUGCAGACAAAUGGACACCAGAAUUGUCCAGCUCGAUUGGAGGCAUCGUGAUCUGCAGAUCUCAGGAAAUGUGCUCAUCCCCAAGUCACGUCAUUCCAGUUGGUUCUGGACCCCAGCGAGCUUCAUCAGUGCUGAGUGCGGGAGACACUGUGAAGCCUUGUUAAGAUGAGGCAGACAGCACACCUUACUUCCUCAUGCAGACACAGAGAUGGACUUGCGGGAAAGGCCAAAAGUCUCUGCCCUCAAUGGGAAGGGGCGUCUGAGGAGCCCCUGUCCUGCACCUCACUCCUUUCUACAAACAGGCUCUCAUUGUGUGGCCUGACUAGGAGACCAGUGUCAGCUCCAGGAUUUCUCCCCAGCACAUUCUAGGUGGCGAUCCAGUUCGGAGUGUGGCUUGAAGCUGUGUUUGUACCACACCACACAAUGAGGCUGAGACAAUGCCAACCAGCGCUUCACGAUCAAAGCAUGCAGGCAGUGGGGUAUUGAUACAUAACCUGCCUGCGACCACACAGUGAGUCAGUGGUGGGCUUGGUUUGAAGUGCAGCAGUCUGGCUCCAGAAAUCACACUUCGCCUGCUGCACCAGCCUGUCUCCAACCCUCAGACAAACAAAGGUUGUAGGCAGGCACAUGCAGAGAGACCCUUACGCAUCUCAAAUUAGUGAGAGUUUGAAUGGAAUGGUGCCCAUGCUAGCUUUUGUGGUGUCUAUGGGAAGUCUAAAAUAGAACCUUGCUCUGUAACUGACUUUAAGUUACCAUGUUAAAAAAAAGAAGACAUAAUUAUUAAUUGUUUCUAUGAUGGCCUAUAGUUUACAAAGAAAUGUUACACAUUUUUUGCUUUCUUUGUGUCCAGUGUGGGCUUUGGGUUUUUGGGGUGAGAAUCUCAUCGUUCCAUGGACUCCCAGCCCCCUGGGGCCCCCAGGCACACGCAGACUCCCCUCUACUUGCCCAUCCUCCAUCUUUUCCAUUCUCCUUCACCAGUGGUCCAAACACAUAUAUCUGGCAUAUCAGCCCUCUGGGGUAGACAUAAAAGGAUUUUAAUGUUUUCUUAUCAUUGCUUUCAGCUGUGCUGCAGCCCUAUUCCUGCCUCUUGCUGGCAGUUUGGCAGAAUUCAGUAGAUUUCUGGUCACUUUAAUUUAGUAACUGUCCAACCUGAGCUCCGUCCAUCUCCUCCUGUGGCCCCGUGAGGCUGCAGCCACUGGCCACGAGGGACCGGGUCAAUGUUUUCACUCUUCCUCCCUCCCUUCCUGGGUCCCCGUCUCCACUGUGUGUUGGGUGGGACGUAUAGGGAAAGGGUCAUGUGUUCCUCAGUCACCUGGUUGCUGAGCAGGUUCUUGCUGUCCUGCUUCUUUGGUGCUUUCCAAACUGCAGACUUCCAGUGCUGUCCUCGGGCAGGUGCCUGUGAUUUACCUGGAGGGGGCCACAGCAGGGGACUCUCCCGUGCUUCCUUCCCAGUCCUGAAGGAGUCGCUUCAGCCGACCUUGUCCAACACCCUCUCACUUGGCUCCUGACAGCCCCUUGCUCCUGGGAUCCCUGUGCCCAGGGGGCCACCCACUCUCCCACUAGGCAGAGAGCGCACAAAGCUCUGAAAUCUUUUUUUUUUUUUUUUUGAGACACAGUCUCACUCUGUUACCCAGGCUGGAGUGCAGUGGCACCAUCUCGGCUCACUGCAACCUCCACCUCCUGGGUUCAACAAUCCUCCUACCUCAGCCUCCUGAGUAGCCGGGAUUACAGGCACACACCACCAUGCCCCACUAAUUUUUGUGUUUUUAGUGGAGAUGGGAUUUCACCAUGUUGUCCAGGCUGAUCUCGAACUCCUGACCUCAACUGAUCCACCUGCCUCGACCUCCCAAAGUUCUGGGAUUACAGGCAUGAGCCACUGCACCAGGCCAAAGCUCUGAAACCUUGACUCUCCUCUCCUCCCCUUCCCUGUGCUGCUGCCUCUGUGGGCCUGGGCAGGGGAGUCCUGCUCCUCCCCCGGUGGAGGCAACAGAACUAGCGAGCCCCCGUCUUAAGCGUUGAGGGGCAUCUGUUCCUAGCUGUUUGCAGCUCUUUGAAAAGGUGAAGUAUUGAGGUAUUGGAUGCCUCUUUGUCCUCAGCCUUGGGUUCUGAUAGCCCAUUUAAUACAACAGAUAGAGCUGCACUCAAGAUCCUCUACAAAUGGGGUGCUCUCUCAACACCUGCUUUCCCCAGUCUCAGCUUCCUCUGAUCCUGUUCCAGGAUGGCUAUCGGUGUGUCCCCUGCCCCUCCUUCCUCCUUCCCUCCAGUCAUAGGGGAUGUGGCCUGACCUCUCCAAGGGCCUCACCUCCUCCUGCCUCCUCUCCACCUGCCUCCCCCAUGACUUUCCCUUGCUCCAUAUGUCACUGUGGCUCACUGAGCAUGGUGGCCAAGGUCGGCUACUUUAACAUUUGGGGAGCUGUUCAUAUCUUUUGCCUAUGAAAAGGUAAUGUAUCCUCCCAGCUGAAAAUGGAAAAGACUUCAGCAAAACUUUUGAGACUAGAGAUUUUUGUAAGACAAUUCAUUGAAAACAUUGUCCUGUUUAUUUAAUAGUUACUGGCCUAUUUGAUUUUUCGUUUUCUUUUGAGUCAAGUUUGUCCUCUUGCACAUUCUAAUUAGAAGUUUUCACGGCUCUUUGAUAAUAUCGUGUUGCAUUUUGGGCACAGAACUCAACCAGACUGUCACACUGGGCUCUCCUCCCUGCAUCCACGUGUGUUUGGGUGGGGUUUGACUCUUGUCCUUGGGCAGGUUGUAAAGGGCCAGCUUUGUAUUCAACCACUGUGCUUCAAUCAACUAAAAUACUGUAUCAUACAGGACUACAGAAAAAUAAACCAUUUAUAGGAAGAAAGAAAACCUUCUCACACCAUCUAAAUUCUUAGAAAGGUUGGCUUGUUAGUCAUUCGUUUCUUCUAAAAAACAAAAAAAGCCACCACAUUGGUCCAUUUAAAGUGGGAAUAUAUAUAAAUGAUUACAAACCAGAUGCAUUUGCAAGCCUUUCAAGAGCAACAGCUCCAUCAAGAAAGUGCUUAAAUAAAAAAGAAAUUAUUGCAAUUAAAUAAAAAAGAAUUAUUGCAAUUUUCAAGUUGAGUGAUAAAGCGUGUAUAGUUGGAGUGGUUAAUGUAUGCGUUUAAUGAAGUGUAUCCAUCUUCUUGCAGAACUCCACCAUCAGUUUGGGAUGCAGUAAAUGUAGGGAAGAAACAAACACUGUUCUAUAUGGGUUAAAAUUCCCAAACUUCCCAUUGUACCUCUGUUAAUCAGCAUUUAGCUAGUGUCAGCUGUUUGACCAACCCCUUGCUAAAUGCCAACAUCCUGUUAUGCCCCAGGGGAGCCUGCAGUCAAGUGGGGGAAGGAAGGCUGGUCCCUGUGGCCUGUGGUUGGGACCAAGGGCUUUGAAGUCAGACAGCCCAGGGUUUCAAUCUCAGCUUCUUUUAACUGAUGGCAGAUGCAGGGCUCCCACUUCUGAACUUGGAUUGUCCUAUGUGUUAAAUGGAAAUGAUAAUCACAAUAAUCAUGUCAACAGGCCAGGGGCAUUGGUAAGCUUUUAAAGGCAUGAACAUGUUAAUUGUGAGGAGGAUGAUGAUUCUAGCCAAUUGUUUAACUGUUAAUGAGUACCAGUAUCCAACGACUUAGAAUCUCCAAGGCUGCAGAAAAGAUAGGAGAAGGUAAGGGGAGACUCGGGCAAGUCUCUGAGGGCAGAUCAGACUCAAAAAGUGACAAGAGGGAUUUUAUGCCCCGUUUGUCCAGACCUCGUUACCUGGUUCCCUUACUAAUCUCCUUAUAGGUGUGUUUAAUCUUGCAACUGUUAAAACCAUUUUAAUAACAUGAGGUACAUACUAUGUCUUUAUAAAACUGGUUGUUUAUAACCUGAUGAUGUCAUAUCCAUAUGGGCUCAUCUCCAAGCAGUGAUCCAAGCUCUUCUCAGAGAGAGACUUCCUUAGCUUGCGUUCUUCAGGAAACAAGACGGAGACACAAAGCUCUUCCCUGUGAUCCAUUUCCCUUACAUCCCAGUUGCUUCCAGACCUCUCUUAAAACUUGUUGGGAAAUCUCCCUGACACCUGCUCUGUGGUCACUUGUCCUUUCGCUGUCCUCAGACCCUGGCUUGGCUUCAGAGACCGCUGCAAGGAAUGCAGCGUGAGGGGAUGGAAGAAAUGUGAGAGAGAGAGUGGGUCCUCUGAACCGGCAAGGGGAAGGCAAACCCAGGCCAUACUUACACGUCCAUUUACAAGUCUGUGUCCAUUUCACAGUCUUCAGCACACAGCAUCCCAUCCAGUUAACAGAGAACACUGCUCCUUCAACUUCCAGAUGGAUGCCUCGUGGACGUAGGAGGCUGGGGGUCCGCAGCGCAGUCUCGUGGACGUAGGAGGCUGGGGGUCCGCAGUGCAGUCUCGUGGACGUAGGAGGCUGGGGGUCCGCAGCGCAGUCUCGUGGACACGGGAGGCUGGGGGUCCGCAGCGCAGUCUCCGUGAUUACUCCAGGGAUCAGGACAGCCUGCUUGGCCGCCGGGAUGAGGCCACCCUACACCAGGAUGCACGCAGAGUUGGAGAGCUUUGAGUGAGGCACAUUGAUGCCUUGGAGCCAAGAUACUUUGCAGAGCUGCCCUAUCCCAUCUGUGGGCCUGUCCCUGUGCCAUUGUGCCUCCUUCAUGUGCGUGGUCACUUACAGAAACAAUGAAGGGUUUUCACCGUGACUUUCGGCCUGUGCUACUCCUGUCCUGUGACCUGCCGCUGCUGUGCACUCUCUCUUUCCCCUCUUCCCUCCCUGUUACUUCCCUUAUACAUUCCCUUUCUUUUCCGGGAUGCUUUUUGUAGAUUCCUCAGGGCUCCCACAGCUGUCAACAGUGAUGAGAGUGAAGACUUUCAUUUUGCCUACCGACUAGGACAUGUGCACCAUCUUUGAAUCUUUGGUUAUUUUUAUUCUCAAGAGACACUGCACCCACUGCAGUCUCUGAGGUUCAGAGAAACCCCAGGCAAUCCAGGUUCUCUGUGUGCCCUGUGAAGAAGUGAGUUCAUCCUUGACUUCUACCUUUGGGUGUAAGCAUUCCUGACAUUCAGUGACGAAGGCGGUUAGUGCUGUGCACCAUCUGGGACUGGUAUAGAAGGGAGGGUCAUGUGGAAUUCAAAAU
ensembl:lncRNA